GCUGCCUUUUAGUAAUACCAGCAAAACCAGAUAGGUUUAUAGCUAUACAAUCAAUUUCUCAAUGAACCGGGAAGAUCUGAAUUAUUUUCUGUCAAGGCUCAUUACUUAAGUGUGAGCAGUUGUUUGUGUGUCAAAUUGAAUGUUACAAAAUGUUACAAUUGAAUAAUUUUGUGCAUCCAGUCCACUCAUUACACCUGGCCAUGUAAUAGGACACCAGCCAUGCAUUUGUUUCUUGCAGUAGCUGCAACAGUAUCAUCAUCAUGUUCCACAGCACAGGGGUUUCCAUGGUGAGGCAUUGUAGCAUUUUUCACCUGCUGCAGUAGAAGAUGGCUGGCUUAACCAAAGGGUUACAGUAAUAAAGGGGGGCAUUGUUAGUAUCCAAUAUGACUGCAGCGGCAAAAACACUGGCCCAAGCCCGUUCUGUGGGCAAAGACUUCCACCUGUCUACCAACAUCCCAUUUCUGGACAGGAACAAUCCAGAUGCCUUCUCAACAUGUUCCCAGAAGGACUUCCAGCCUUUUUCUUCCAAGAAGGCAGAACCUUUCCGUCCGCCCGCCCAAGCCCAUUUGGAUCACAAGGACUUGAGGCACAUCAAGGAGUACCUGACAGAGGCGAUGGUGUCCUACCACCCUCACCCAAUGCUACAGAUCACCCGCACCCCACGCUGGACCACACUUCACACCAACUUCAAGAUGCAAACAGACCCAGGGGAGGUUGCUUUCCUCACCACACAGUCCCAGAAUUUCCAGCCCCAGCCCUUCCAGCCUCCUCCCACUCUCAUCCGACACACAAAGGCCAACAAGAAGACCCAACACGUGGAAAAGCUCCCAGAGAGCACCAACAAAGCCUCCUUCACCCCACAUCGUCGCUGUCCUGUUGUAAAAGCCACAGCUAAACAUCUAGAAGAGGGCUUUCCCACAAUCAAAGGGGACAGACGCAGUCACAGCUUUGUCUCUCAUUACAACAACACCUUCCAGGGAGCCUGGAGCAGAGUGGCUAAACCUGUAGAAAAGCACUCCUCAGUGACUAUGGGUGAUCCUGUGAAGAUUGUCGAGAGAGAGACGACCCACGCUGCGUCAUUCAGCUGGCCCACUGUCUGCAGGCCAGUUGUGGUGAAGGAGCGUUUGAAGCUCAGUCUUGGAAAUUUCUCUAAGGACUUAUGGUCGUCCACAUCCAGAGAAGCCUUUUGUCACCACAAGCUAGGAGAUCCAGUUGUUGUGACGAGGAACCAAAAUUGCCAUUCCUUACCCAAGGGGGACACUGAUACGAGGUGCAACAAAGAGAUGAUGUAUGUCACCACCAACAGAAUCUCCUUCUCUGAUCUGAACCACAGAGAGCGUCCGGUGCACGUGCUCGGGGCUGACCUGAUGACCAAGAGCCAUGUACAGUUCAGCCCACCUCAUCUGUCGGGCCUGUACUACACAUCCACGGCCAAACAACACUACAGCAAACAGGAGGGAGAGCGCGCCAGACCAGCCAUUCAGCUGCUGAGCAACAUACUGAGUGGACCAGAACAUGAGUGUUGAACUAUCAAGCCUGAUUACCUCCCUUUGAAGACCUGCAGACAGACACCUUGUCUGUCACAGCAGAGGAGCAACAUCAGGUUUCCACUGGCUGAUCAGCACUUCUGCACCUCCCACAGUGAAGACUACACGGCCAAACCUAUGAUCUUGCAGCCACCUGCCUACAGCCAGUUCAGCACUCAUUUUGUCAUGCUGUAACUAAAGCCACUCUGUUAUCACCCCCUAGUUUUGUGUUUUUUUUUAAUGAACUGCAUAAUUCUCAUAAUCUUACUGGGCUGAUUAAUAAAUAACAUUUUUACUUAGAAGAGUA